GUGUCAGCAGCCGCGGUAAUACAGAGGGGGCAAGCGUUGUUCGGAAUUACUGGGCGUAAAGGGCGCGUAGGCGGCCCUCUAAGUCAGACGUGAAAUCCCUCGGCUCAACCGGGGAACUGCGUCUGAGACUGGAAGGCUUGAAUUCGGGAGAGGGAUGUGGAAUUCCAGGUGUAGCGGUGAAAUGCGUAGAUAUCUGGAGGAACACCGGUGGCGAAGGCGGCAUCCUGGACCGAUAUUGACGCUGAUGCGCGAAAGCCAGGGGAGCAAACGGGAUUAGAUACCCCUGUAGUCC
rnacentral:rRNA from 1 species